GGAUUGUGGCUCAGCGGUAGAGCACUCGUCUAGCACGGGCGAGGCCCUGGGUUCUAUCCUCAGCACCA
rnacentral:tRNA from 1 species